AAUCAAGUGGAGGACAAGUCUGGUGCCAGCACCCGCGGUAAUUCCAGCUCCACUAGCGUAUAUUAAAGUUGUUGCAGUUAAAAAGCUCGUAGUUGAACCUCUGUCUGGGGCUAGUUUUGGCUUUGGUCAGGCUAGUUCUAGGCAUCCGCCUACAAGACUUAGAGGGCAUUCAGUUGUUCACUAGGAGGAGUAGGCAUUUUACUUUGAAAAAGUUAGAGUGUUUAAGGCAGGCAAUCGCCCGCAUAUAUUAGCAUGGAAUAAUAGAAUAGGACACUUUUCCAUUUCGUUGGUUAUUGGAAUCGUGUAAUGAUUAAUAGGGGCAGUUGUGGGCAUUUGUAUUUAAUUGUCAGAGGUGAAAUUCUUGGAUUUAUUAAAGACAAACUAACGCGAAAGCAUUUGCCAGGGGUGUUUUCAUUAAUCAAGAACGAAAGUUAGGGGAUCAAAGACGAUCAGAUACCGUCCUAGUCUUAACUAUAAACUAUUCCGACUCAAUGUUUGACUGGCUUAUAUAACCAGUUGAGCGUUGUAUGAGAAAUCAAAGUCUUUAGGUUCUGGGGGGAGUAUGGUUGCAAAGCUGAAACUUAAAGGAAUUGACGGAAGAGCACAACCAGGAGUGGAUUCUGCGGCUUAAUUUGACUCAACACGGGGAAACUUACCAGGUUAAAACAAUAGUGGGAUUGACAGUUUGAGAGCGCUUUCUUGAUUGGUUGGGUGGUGGUGCAUGGCCGUUCUUAGUUGGUGGAGUGAUUUGUCUGCUUAAUUGCGUUAACGAACGAGACCUUAACCUGCUUACUAGACUGGCGAUCAUCAAUCGUUAGCUCUUCUUAGAGGGACUUUGGUUGUUUUAACUCCAAGGAAGUUUGAGGCAAUAACAGGUCUGUGAUGCCCUUAGAUAUCCUGGGCCGCACGCGUCAUACAAUGACUAGUUCAGAAAGUUUUCUCCUGACCCGAAAGGGGAUGGGUAAUCUUGAUAAUACUAGUCGUGUUAGGGAUCGAUCUUUGCAAUUAAAGAUCUUGAACGAGGAAUUCCUAGUAAGUGCGGUUCAUCAGACCGUACUGAUUACGUCCCUGCUCUUUGUACACACCGCCCGUCGCUCCUACCGAGUGGGUGGUCCGGUGAGAUAAUUGAACUUCGCAGGUAACUGAGAGGAAAGAUUAUCAAACCUAUCCACCU
rnacentral:rRNA from 1 species